rnacentral:sRNA from 1 species
CACCAGGCAUUCUUCGGGAAACCUAAACACAGAGAACUGAAGUUCUCUGACACCACCACCUGCUUCUUUCUUUUAGCUGCUUACACAUGAAAGCAGCCAAUUCAUGUAUUUGUCCUUCCAUUUUCUGCUUCAUUCUAACCUUGUCCCACCCUAAAUAUUUUUCCACAGGUCAACGGCAAAGACUUAUCCAGAGCAACUCAUGACCAGGCUGUGGAAGCUUUCAAGACAGCCAAGGAGCCCAUAGUGGUGCAGGUGUUGAGAAGAACACCAAGGACCAAAAUGUUCACGCCUCCAUCAGAGUCGCAGCUGGUGGACACGGGAACCCAAACCGACAUCACCUUUGAACAUAUCAUGGCCCUCACUAAGAUGUCCUCUCCCAGCCCACCCGUGCUGGAUCCCUAUCUCUUGCCAGAGGAGCAUCCUUCAGCCCAUGAAUACUACGAUCCAAAUGACUACAUUGGAGACAUCCAUCAGGAGAUGGACAGGGAGGAGCUGGAGCUGGAGGAAGUGGACCUCUACAGAAUGAACAGCCAGGAC